rnacentral:rRNA from 1 species
GACGAACGCUGGCGGCGCGCUUAACACAUGCCAGUCGAACGGAAAGGCCCUGCUUGCAGGGUACUCGAGUGGCGAACGGGUGAGUAACACGUGGGUGAUCUGCCCUGCACUUCGGGAUAAGCCUGGGAAACUGGGUCUAAUACCGGAUAGGAGCCAUUUUUAGUGUGAUGGUUGGAAAGUUUUUUCGGUGUAGGAUGAGCUCGCGGCCUAUCAGCUUGUUGGUGGGGUAAUGGCCUACCAAGGCGGCGACGGGUAGCCGGCCUGAGAGGGUGGACGGCCACAUUGGGACUGAGAUACGGCCCAGACUCCUACGGGAGGCAGCAGUGGGGAAUAUUGCACAAUGGGCGCAAGCCUGAUGCAGCGACGCCGCGUGGGGGAUGACGGCCUUCGGGUUGUAAACUCCUUUCGCUAGGGACGAAGCUUUUUGUGACGGUACCUAGAUAAGAAGCACCGGCUAACUACGUG